UAGAAAGGUAGGUCUCAGCGAGUUUGGGAAAUGCCUCUAUGUCCUGCAAAGCACGCUGGACUCUGCCUCUGGGCUCGCAUUGCUCGACCGCAGUGUGCUGACUCACUGAGAGCAGCUGGGCAGUGUGGCACAAGUGAGGUGCUGCUGGUUAGGACUCCUCCAGCUGCUUCCUGCAGUGCCCCUGCCGGGCCCAUGCAGUCCCCUAGUCCCCUUAAGCAGGGAUUAGGGGCCGUGAGCACUCUGGGAAGGGUGCUGCCCUCUGAGUGAGAUCUGCCCCAUACCGCAGGGGGACAAAGGCUCAGGGGCUAUGCUUGAUAACAGGUUGUUAAUUUUUUCUCCCACAGAAGACUCUGUUGGGAGGGAUCUGUGCUUCAGAAAGAUACCCUCUCUAGGAAGCUGGGAGAGGGUUGGAGUAGCGGAAAGUAGAGGCAGGGAGACCAGUUAGUAGCUGGAACAACCAUCCCCGGGGCUUGAUGAAGGGGAUCUAGGCUAAGGCAGUGGAGACGGAGGGAAAAUGCACAUUUAACAUGCUUCAGAAAGCAGAUGCAACAGCACUGAGAAGUUGGAAGAAGCUGUGAAGCAUUGACACGGUGAGGGCUCAGACCACCCCUCAAACAAGCUGGAGAACAGAGAGGGCGGUGGGAGCGGGUGGCAUCACAUCAACCCACUAUCAGCAGUGCCCAUGUUCAUGAUCUUUUCUGCCCCUUACCAAAGUCACUGUGACUUUCCUCCGGGCCCUCUACACCACACAUUCAUGUUACAUGAGGCUUCCCAGAAAUAUACCCUCUUCUUCCCAAGUGCACCCUCUUCCUGCCCCCAUUACUUCCUCCUCUCCUCAACCAUGAAAUGAGGGCAUGAUAGCAGGGAAGAGAGGUACCCUAGGGCAGGAGAGCCUCUCAUGGCCCCAUUAUCCCUUCCCCUCCACUCUCCAUGUCCAUGACUGGCUCAAAAUUUCUCUAUGCACUCUGGGCUGCAUGUACAUAGCCUAUGUCUCUAAAUAAGUCCAAAAAAAAGUCCACCCUCAUGAUGGGCAAUGGGCCCUAUCCAUUAGAAACAAGCCGCUCUGUAGGGGGUUCAGCUCCAUGGCUCUUGCUUCAGGGUGGUAUGAAUAAAACACGGCACAUGGAAAUCAUGUCACCAGACUCUCCCAGCUCAGAGAUUCCUGGAAGCGAGUUCAGAGUCCACACAGCCCCAUCUCUGUGUCUACACCAUUAUUAGCCAAGCUUUCUCGUGGGGUUGCUAAGAAUUGACAGAAAGUUCGGAAUAUUGGCCAUGUGUGACUUUAAUCAUACGUCUGCAAUAAAAUGAAGCUCUUUCCCUGAGAGCAAGGAGGCAGCUAGGCAGUAGCAGAAAGACAGAGUUCAGAGUUACGGUCUAGAGCAGUCCAACACAAACACAGCCUUCUCGGAGCCUUACUGCAGAGCGUUUUUGUUGCGGGAACGGACACUCAAGCCACACAUCUGGUAAAUGAUUCCCGAAGACGAGAUGGGGUUGGGAAAGAGAAGAUAAAAAGCAGGCUGCACAUGUGUUAGCCAAGCGUGGCAUGACUCAGCGAUCACCCUGGCUUCUCAGAAAGAAGAGGCCGGUUCAUCCCCUUGACUCAGCAUUCCUCACUUCUCAGCAGCCUCAGCCUGCAGUCACCCAGGGACCUCAGCCACAGAGCAGGGCAGCACACCGUGUACUCUCAGACCCUGUCCUCAGAUGCCGUCCUCCAUCAGACUUGAGGCCCCGCCUGGCUGGCAGAGAGGCCACAGCCCUACAAGGGAGGGUCUCCUACUCCAAAAAGGAACAGAGCACUCUUUAAGGAGCGUGUCUGCAACACAGCAGUGCCCCCACCCUGGCCAGAUACCUGGACACCUGAACCAGCUCCUCCUGGAGAUCUGGGCCCCUUCCCUCUGGACAGCUGAACAGAAGUGAAGCUAACACAUCACCAAUUCUCAAGCUUAGAUUCUGCAGCUUGGUGCCCGACAUUGCAAGAGCAGAGUCCCCAUGCUGUAGGGGUGACCAGCAUGGGCCCUGUGUGGCAGGAAGGUGAGUCCUCUGGCAGGGGAGGCAGGUGCUGGAAGCCAAGUAGGGGACAGGGACAAAUGAAACCACCUCAGCUUGGGUCCUGCAGCUCAUGGCACUUGCAGGGUGUCCCUGAGCCAUACAGAAGCAGGAGACCACCCACAGUUUGUCCAUGGGUCAUAGUUUGCUGACCGUAGAUGUAGCAAAAGAGACCUAAACGUGACCCCAGUGUGGUUGAGGGGAGUGACCAGUGAGCACACCCGUGCCAGUGUUCUCUAGAGCAUAACCCAUUAAGGGAUUACAAAAGCACAUCAGUGGCUCACCACCAGCAUCUUUUUAAUGAAACAAAGAGAAUGGACUCUCUCUAGGUUUUUUAUGGCGUUCAUUUGGAUAAGGAUCUAUGCUCUGGGUGCCAUGUCAAAUGCGCUUCUUACUGAGGACUGGGUGCUAGGCACACUUUUUGGCUUCUGUAUCCCUCAAAAGAGUUGUUUUCAUCUAUUUUUCAAACAUUAGUGGGGCAUCUGCCGUGAAAGUUUAAAAAUAAGCUCCUUGAGGGACAGGGUCAAGUCCCAGCCUUCCACUAACUCUGAAACCUACCGCCUUGGCACAUGGGCAGGAAGUGAAGGGAGGACAAGGGAGUUUGCUGGCGUCUGAGAAUGUAUAUUCCUAGGAGGACCUUGGAGAAGUGAAGAUCUUUGGUAGUACCUCUGGAGGCAUCUCACACUUACCAUUCAACCACAACAUCUUAGAGGCCUCAGGUCUGGCAGUUUCCAGACUGUGCUCCGAGGAGCCCCUGGGUUCCUCAAUGUGCUUCAGGGGUGCCCAGGGAAAGAGGUUCUUGCCUUCCUUUUCUAACUUCAACCAGAGCAGCUUUGCACUUUUUUAUAUAGGUUUUAAGGUGACAUGUAAAUUUCUUUUGUCCCAAGGGCUCCAAUUCCAGAGCAUCGAACAACCAGAAGGCCUGAAAACUCUAUUUUAUUCAACUAAUUUAAACCUAGGAAAACCUGAAAUACCCAAGGAAAGUCAGCAGUGGAGAGGGAGACUGGCCCUCAGACCUCGGCUCCCCACCCUGUUCAGCCGUCCUUCCUCCACACUCCGCUGCAGCCCUGCUGAGUCCAGUUCUGCUCUGGGAGCAAUUCCCAGUGGACACGUGGCAGUCCAACAAGACAGUGUUAUAGCAGCAGGCUCCAAAUCAGACGAAAAGCAGAAGACAACACACACUGUUUUAAAUAUCAUAGAGAGAACAUCCCCGGAGUUGUUUAUCAUGAUUCAGACAUGGACAAGCUUUGGGAUCUUGGACAAGUCACUUCACAUCUCUGGACUUUGUUUCUGCAGUCCUCUCUGGCCCUCUGUUCUGAGUCUCCAUGGAUAGAACUGAUCAUCACUAGAGAGAAAGGAGAGCCACAAACCUAAUCUCCCAGGUGACAAUUAUUAACUCUACCAGUGUGACAUGCCUUCUGGGGAGCGGUGGCAGCGGCCACCUGCAGUCCAUCUCCACAGCAGGAUGAAGUUUCCUGGAGAAGCCAUGGAGGUGAAGAGAGGACUCAGGCUGCUAACUCAGCCCAGUCCUGCACAAACACAGGGUAACUGCACCUGGGAUUGAAAGCGUUAAUUUAGAAUUUUGUUGUCCUAGGUGUUCCAGCAACUCUGUGGUUCUCUAUUAGAGUUGAAGAGACUGAGGCUCUGAGAGGUUGCAUGAUUGUACAAAGGGCGUAAAGGUGCAAUGAGAGGGGACAGAGAGAGAGAGAGAAAGAGAGCAUAUUUGAGGUUUGAGACCCUCGAGGUGGAAGGAGAUGUCAGUUAUAACUUGUUGACUGUCUCCUGCAACAAGAACUUUACAUACUUUAUCUCAUACUUAAAUCCUCACAAUAACCAUGCAACAUAGGUGUCAAAAACCCAUGUUACAGAAGAGGAAAAUGAAGUUGAGACAGGUUAGAGUGAUUCCAGGCACACAACUAUUGGAUGACAGCACCGGUCUUCUCACUUGCUUUUUCUGAUUCCCAAAUCUUUGAUCUUCCCACUCUCUUGGGAUGCCUCAAGGCUGUGUAGACACAUGGCCAGAAUAUUCCUCCACUCAAUGUUGUGUAACCACAGGACAGAGAAGAAGACAGUGGCCUUCAACACUUGACAUGAAACUGUGGCAUGAGAAGAGCCAGUGAUCAAGCCAAUCUUGGUCAGAACGUCAUUACCUCUGGUGAGAGAGCCACUAUCUAAGCACCUCUGGUCACCCUAUCCUGUGCCUUGUCAUCAGGUACACUAUAUCUGGGAGAGUCUGGAAUCCUCAUAAGGAAAGGAUGGAGGUAGGGCUGUGAUAGGAAGCCCCUCUCCCUCCCUAGCUCUUUGCCUCAAUUAGCUUAAAGAUACAAAUAGCCUUACAUAGUCUCACAAAGUCUUUCUACGAGUUGCGAAAUUGCGUUGUUUCCUACGGAACUGUAACAUUUUAUGAAUAAGGUUAUUUAUGAGUGGUUCCACCCUAGUGGGUAAAAGAUAGGUUACAGAAUGAAAAUUCCCUUUACCUCUCAACCUUUGAUCUUCAUAGUCAAAAUCGGGUAACAACAAUAAUCUCCACACAGGUGGGCAUGAGGAUGCAAUGAAGUGAUGUGUCUGGAUCAUAGAGGUCCCUGUACCAACGUGAUACUGUUUUAUGCCUGCAGGCAGCUCCAGUCAUCCAAUUAAGCUGACAGGGGCAUCCCUCCUUGCUUGAUGGAGCGGUGAGGACCAGGGUCCCGCUAAUCCUAUGGGUAUUCUCUCAUGUAUCCUUGCAGCAAUCCUAUUUACAUACUAACCCCAUUUACACACAGGGAACGGAAAGUUUGUGAAGUGAAUUAAAUGGAGGGCAGGUGGACUCUGCGCUGUCAGGAAAAGCUCCCAAUCUUGCAAUUACAGCUAGAAGAACCCUGAGAGCAGGGUAUGCACACACCGCCACCUCGGCAGGCCUGGAACACGCUCCUGGUGCCACACUUGGGCCAGUGAGGUACACUGAGGGUCCCUAGCCUGACAUCCAGCCAGUAUUUAACUCCAAGGAGAGGGAAGCCACAGGGAAGGAUGGGGCCAAGAAAGAAGACACUGGACCUGUUGUGGAAAACUCCACAGACUCGGAAUGAAAUUCUGGCUUUGGUUAUUUUCUGGCGAUCCUCAUGCACAAGGAAUUGGGAAGCCGCUGCCAGCUAGAAGGUGGGGAGCCCCACAUCACAGUUCUUAACCCACCUGUUUACAAAUAGGCGUUCACGUGUAUGCAAAGCCAAAAGCGGCCUCCCACCCACCUUCCAGUAAUUGCUCUGUGACCCACAGAGAGGGAAGGCAAGGAAGCAAACUUCAAAGGGCCUUUGAAAAAGAACACUGACCACAUGCAUUUGAAAAGAGGUCAAUGUGGAUUUGACAAAAGGCCAAAGGACACUUGAAAACACAGGGAGUGACUAUUCGUUCCAAAACACACAGGGGAGUGUGCCCCGAGGAUCUGUGGGGGUUCAUGAAGUCUGUCCAGGAGAACUGUAGGAUCCUUGUGCUUAGGCGAGUUUCAGUUUUAGGGUGUGCCAAUGCAGAGUUCUGUUGAUUACGGAGGGCCCAGCUUCCUAAGGAGGAUGUGAAAAUUAACUCGAAACUGAAGCUGUGCCCAAAGGUGCCUGAGGUUGUGACAGUCAGAGUUGCCAGCAUUCUAGUUGGGCUCCCAUUAGCAUGUGACAUCAGACAAGCAAUUGAGGCAGCACGCCAGCCUCUCUACCUACAGACGGGAGCCCCUGCACCUCUCAAAGUCAGAUGACACACAUGGGAUCAUUUCAAGCCUUUCAAUACUUUCAAGGUCAUAUUAUUCAUUUUCCCCCAAUAGCUUUUUUUCCUCGUCUUUAAGGAAAGUCUCAUGAAAAGGGGAAUUUAAAUUCACACAAAAUGAGGGGGCUCUUGGUCAGCUCCUCUUGAGAAACUGAUGACUCGUUUCAGUUCUCAAGGGGCUUUCCUAUUGUGGGAGGUGUCCCCAGUGAAUCCACGCCUUCAUUUCUGAAAAGGAAAAAAAAAAAAAA